CCUACGGGGGGCAGCAGUGGGGAAUAUUGGACAAUGGGGGGAACCCUGAUCCAGCCAUGCCGCGUGUGUGAAGAAGGCCCUCGGGUUGUAAAGCACUUUCAGUGAGGAAGAACGCCUGGUGGUUAAUACCCAUCAGGAAAGACAGCACUCACAGAAGAAGCACCGGCUAACUCCGUGCCAGCAGCCGCGGUAAUACGGAGGGUGCGAGCGUUAAUCGGAAUUACUGGGCGUAAAGCGCGCGUAGGUGGCUUGAUAAGCCGGUUGUGAAAGCCCCGGGCUCAACCUGGGAACGGCAUCCGGAACUGUCAAGCUAGAGUGCAGGAGAGGAAGGUAGAAUUCCCGGUGUAGCGGUGAAAUGCGUAGAGAUCGGGAGGAAUACCAGUGGCGAAGGCGGCCUUCUGGACUGACACUGACACUGAGGUGCGAAAGCGUGGGUAGCAAACAGGAUUAGAUACCCUAGUAGUC
rnacentral:rRNA from 1 species